rnacentral:rRNA from 1 species
AUUGAACGCUAGCGGCAUGCCUUACACAUGCAAGUCGAACGGCAGCACGGGGGCAACCCUGGUGGCGAGUGGCGGACGGGUGAGUAAGGCAUCGGAAUCUGCCCUGAUGUGGGGGGAUAACGUAGGGAAACUUACGCUAAUACCGCAUACGACCGAGAGGUGAAAGCGAGGGACCGAAAGGCCUCGCGCAGCAGGAUGAGCCGAUGUCCGAUUAGCUAGUUGGUGAGGUAAAGGCUUACCCAAGGCGACGAUCCGUAGCUGGUCUGAGAGGACGACCAGCCACACUGGGACUGAGACACGGCCCAGACUCCUACGGGAGGCAGCAGUGGGGAAUCUUGGACAAUGGGCGAAAGCCUGAUCCAGCAAUGCCGCGUGUGUGAAGAAGGUCUUCGGAUUGUAAAGCACUUUUGGCAGGGACGAUGAUGACGGUACCUGCAGAAUAAGCCCCGGCUAACUUCGUG